rnacentral:rRNA from 13 species
AGUUCGCGGCGUGAUUUGUUUGAGUCAUUCCGUUAACGAAAAGAACCUUAGUUGUG